rnacentral:rRNA from 1 species
CACGUAGGGGGCAAGCGUUGUCCGGAUUUAUUGGGCGUAAAGAGCUCGUAGGCGGUUUCGUAAGUCGGAUGUGAAAACUCCAGCUCAACUUGGAGACGCCAUUCGAUACUGCGAUGACUUGAGUCCGGAAGAGGUGGGUGGAAUUCCUAGUGUAGAGGUGAAAUUCGUAGAUAUUAGGAAGAACACCGGUGGCGAAGGCGGCCCACUGGUCCGGUACUGACGCUGAGGUGCGAAGACGUGGGGAGCAAACAGGA